rnacentral:rRNA from 1 species
ACAUACGACCAUAGCCGCUUGAAAAUUCUGGAUCCCGUCCGAUCUCCGAUAGAUAACCAGGCGAGCGCCGGAUUAGUAUAGUAGUUGGGUCGGUGACGACCAGCGAAUACCUGGUGUUGUAUGUU